GAUGAACGCUGGCGGCGUGCCUAAUACAUGCCAGUCGAGCGAACGGACGAGAAGCUUGCUCCUCUGACGUUAGCGGCGGACGGGUGAGUAACACGUGGAUAACCUACCUAUAAGACUGGGAUAACUUCGGGAAACCGGAGCUAAUACCGGAUAAUAUUUUGAACCGCAUGGUUCAAUAGUGAAAGACGGUUUUGCUGUCACUUAUAGAUGGAUCCGCGCCGCAUUAGCUAGUUGGUAAGGUAACGGCUUACCAAGGCGACGAUGCGUAGCCGACCUGAGAGGGUGAUCGGCCACACUGGAACUGAGACACGGUCCAGACUCCUACGGGAGGCAGCAGUAGGGAAUCUUCCGCAAUGGGCGAAAGCCUGACGGAGCAACGCCGCGUGAGUGAUGAAGGUCUUCGGAUCGUAAAACUCUGUUAUUAGGGAAGAACAAAUGUGUAAGUAACUGUGCACGUCUUGACGGUACCUAAUCAGAAAGCCACGGCUAACUACGUG
rnacentral:rRNA from 1 species